rnacentral:rRNA from 1 species
GACGAACGCUGGCGGCGUGCUUAACACAUGCAAGUCGAACGGAAAGGCCCCUUCGGGGGUACUCGAGUGGCGAACGGGUGAGUAACACGUGAGUAACCUGCCCUUGACUUCGGGAUAACUUCAGGAAACUGGGGCUAAUACCGGAUAGGAAUCCUUGCUGCAUGGUGGGGGUUGGAAAGCUUCGGCGGUUUUGGAUGGACUCGCGGCUUAUCAGCUUGUUGGUGGGGUAGUGGCUUACCAAGGCUUUGACGGGUAGCCGGCCUGAGAGGGCGACCGGCCACAUGGGGACGGAGAUACGGCCCAGCCUCCUACGGGAGGCAGCAGGGGGGAAUUUUGCACAAUGGGGGGAAGCCUGAUGCAGCAACGCCGGGGGGGGGAUGACGGCCUUCGGGUUGUAAACCGCUUUCAGCGGGGGCGAAGCUUGUGGUGACGGUACCUGCAGAAGAAGCACCGGCUAACUACGU